rnacentral:misc_RNA from 1 species
ACAAUCCUAAACCGAUUCUUUGGUCCGGUUCUGCCGGUCAAAGUCUUAAACCCUUUGUGAAAACAAAAAUCUUUUGCUUCGGCAGCUGGUCGAGCUCUUUCUCAACCGAAAUCUCGAUCGUCAGCCUGCCGGCGGCACCAACCAAACUUGUUAUUUUCUGUACAGUCUGAAAAACAUUUUUUGAAUGAAAUCA